UACGAAGGGGGGCUAGCGUUGUUCGGAAUUACUGGGCGUAAAGCGCACGUAGGCGGAUAUUUAAGUCGGGGGGUGAAAUCCCGGGGCUCAACCCCGGAACUGCCUUCGAUACUGGGUAUCUUGAGUUCGGAAGAGGUGAGUGGAAUUGCGAGUGUAGAGGUGAAAUUCGUAGAUAUUCGCAGGAACACCAGUGGCGAAGGCGGCUCACUGGUCCGAUACUGACGCUGAGGCACGAAAGCUAGGGGAGCAAACAGG
rnacentral:rRNA from 1 species